CCCUUAGAUGUUCUGGGCCGCGCGCGCGCUACACUGAUGCGUUCAACAAGUUUCCUUGGCCGAGAGGCCUGGGCAAUCUUCUUAAUAUGUAUCGUGAUAGGGAUAGAUUAUUGCAAUUAUUAAUCUUGAACGAGGAAUUCCUAGUAAACACAGAUCAUCAAUCUGCAUUGAUUACGUCCCUGCCCUUUGUACACACCGCCCGUCGCACCUACCGAUUGGAUGUUCCGGUGAAGCCUCGGGAUGAGGACUGGUGCCUUUAUUGGCAUGAGUUGUUCAGAACUUGUCUAAACCUUAUCAUCUAGAGGAAGGUGAAGUCGUAACA
rnacentral:rRNA from 1 species